AACGAACGCUGGCGGCAUGCCUAACACAUGCAAGUCGAACGAGAUCUUCGGGUCUAGUGGCGCACGGGUGCGUAACGCGUGGGAAUCUGCCCUUUGGUUCGGAAUAACAGUUGGAAACGACUGCUAAUACCGGAUGAUGACGAAAGUCCAAAGAUUUAUCGCCAGAGGAUGAGCCCGCGUAGGAUUAGCUAGCUGGUGUGGUAAAGGCGCACCAAGGCGACGAUCCUUAGCUGGUCUGAGAGGAUGAUCAGCCACACUGGGACUGAGACACGGCCCAGACUCCUACGGGAGGCAGCAGUGGGGAAUAUUGGACGAUGGGCGAAAGCCUGAUCCAGCAAUGCCGCGUGAGUGAUGAAGGCCUUAGGGUUGUAAAGCUCUUUUACCCGGGAUGAUAAUGACAGUACCGGGAGAAUAAGCUCCGGCUAACUCCGUGCCAGCAGCCGCCGUAA
rnacentral:rRNA from 1 species